GUCCUAGCCGUAAACGGUGCAUGUUUGCUGUAAAAGGAAUCGACCCCUUUUGUUGCGGAGCAAACGCGUUAAACAUGCCGCCUGGGAAGUACGGUCGCAAGAUUAAAACUCAAAGAAAUUGACGGGGGCCUGCACAAGCGGUGGAGUAUGUGGCUCAAUUCGAUGCAACGCGAAGAACCUUACCUGGCCUUGACAUGCAUAUAGUAGAAGGGUGAAAGCCUGACGAGGUAGCAAUACCAGUAUGCACAGGUGCUGCAUGGCUGUCGU
rnacentral:rRNA from 1 species